GUGUUGAACCAAACCAUGUAUGAUGACAACUAGUGGGUGGAAAACAUUUCCCCAAAUCAGAACUGGGUAUCUACCCUCCACGUUACUUCACUGGAUGCCAAAAGGUUAUCUGUGAGGAACUAGGAAAGGAAGUAUAUUUGAAAACAUCACUGGAACUUGUAUACAACAUCUUAAGGUGUUUGAUCCUUUUAUGAACUGUUGACAGCUUUUCGCCAUUGAAGUCUAUAUGAGAUUUGCCAGCCAAGUGAAAGGAGGAAGCAGGGCCAGAGUGCUUGACCAAGGAACCCCUAAGAGCUGGUUAGAUCACAAGACAUGAGAUGACCAGGGAGAGGAAAUGGCCCAGAAUUCCAUGAAAUGCUCAGGCAUCUGUAUCAGCAGUUUCAUCAGACCUAUUUCGGCCAUCCAAAUGAUUCUCUUUGAGUUUCACUUCCAGUAUCAUCUUCAUUCAAGGAUCCAGGCAAAUGUGAAUUCCCAGAGCACUCAGAGAAGCAUGAAGUAGCUGAGGAUUAUUAAUAAUCAUUACAGUGCACUAAAUCAGUAACGGCACUGAAUCAGGCCAUCGUGCAACACACCCUUUUGUGUUUAUUAAUGGUCAUGACAGUUGCUUAAUUGGGAUAGUAGUUCUGUUUAAUUGGGACAUAUUUAGUGCUACUCAGGCCAGGUAUCUUCCUCUUGCUCCUGCCAGGUCUGUUUGUUCUUCACAAGUUUCUCAGUAUUUCUGUGGAAUGUGCCUGAUGCCAGCUGGUCUCCUAAGCCUUCCCACGCUGGGAAGUCUUCUGGGCUGUGGCUUCUGCCUGGGACGUUAUCGUCGGUGUUAGAUUAACAAGCCAUGACUUAGAAGUCCUUUGCUUAAAAAUGAGUAUGUCAGGCUGAGUGUGGUGGCUCAUGCCUAUAAUUCCAGUGUUAUGGGAUUCCAAGGCAAGGGAAUUGCUUGAGGCCAGGAGUUCGAGACUAGUUUGGGCAACAUAGUAAGACGCCAUCCCUCUUUUUCACUGAUGUCUCCUGAUCACUCUUUUCAUCACAUGGUGCCCUUCUGCCCGUCAGACUGUAUCAUGGCAGGAUGAUUCCACUUGCGUUGUAAGUUCCUACAACCUUGGCCAGUGGGAAGUUCUUUUAGGGCUCACUUCACAUCUGCCUGAGCAGAAACACAGUCAGCCCUCCAUCAGCCCUCCCAGUCCCUGGAUCUGCAUCUGGAUUCAACCACCAUUGUGGAUAACUGAAGCAUAUUCUUGCUAGAGAACUCACUUGGAGCCAGUGUAGAACACACAUCUUAGAGUUAUCCUACCUAAAGAAUGAAGCAGCUAGGAUAUUUCUGUACCAGCUCCUCUCAGUCAAUGGUUGACAACUGGUUGGGUGGACGUAGAGCACUCAUGUGUGGAUAC
rnacentral:lncRNA from 1 species